CGAACGGGUGAGUAACACGUGAGCAAUCUGCCCUUGACUCUGGGAUAACUGCGGGAAACUGUAGCUAAUACCGGAUACGACGCCUUGGGGCAUCCCACGGGCGUGGAAAGAAUUUCGGUCAAGGAUGAGCUCGCGGCCUAUCAGCUUGUUGGUGAGGUAAUGGCUCACCAAGGCGACGACGGGUAGCCGGCCUGAGAGGGUGACCGGCCACACUGGGACUGAGACACGGCCCAGACUCCUACGGGAGGCAGCAGUGGGGAAUAUUGCGCAAUGGGCGAAAGCCUGACGCAGCAACGCCGCGUGAGGGAUGACGGCCUUCGGGUUGUAAACCUCUUUUAGCAGGGAAGAAGCGAAAGUGACGGUACCUGCAGAAAAAGCACCGGCUAACUACGUGCCAGCAGCCGCGGUAAUACGUAGGGUGCAAGCGUUAUCCGGAAUUAUUGGGCGUAAAGAGCUCGUAGGCGGUUUGUCGCGUCUGCUGUGAAAAUCUGAGGCUCAACCUCGGACUUGCAGUGGGUACGGGCAGACUAGAGUGCAGUAGGGGAGAAGGGAAUUCCUGGUGUAGCGGUGGAAUGCGCAGAUAUCAGGAGGAACACCAAUGGCGAAGGCACUUCUCUGGGCUGUAACUGACGCUGAGGAGCGAAAGCGUGGGGAGCGAACAGGAUUAGAUACCCUGGUAGUCCACGCCGUAAACGUUGGGCGCUAGAUGUGGGUCACAUUCCACGUGAUCCGUGUCGCAGCUAACGCAUUAAGCGCCCCGCCUGGGGAGUACGGCCGCAAGGCUAAAACUCAAAGGAAUUGACGGGGGCCCGCACAAGCGGCGGAGCAUGCGGAUUAAUUCGAUGCAACGCGAAGAACCUUACCAAGGCUUGACAUGUAGAGAAAACAGCAGAAAUGUAGUCCCGCAAGGUCUCUAUACAGGUGGUGCAUGGUUGUCGUCAGCUCGUGUCGUGAGAUGUUGGGUUAAGUCCCGCAACGAGCGCAACCCUCGUCCUAUGUUGCCAGCAUUUAGUUGGGGACUCACAGGAGACUGCCGGGGUCAACUCGGAGGAAGGUGGGGAUGACGUC
rnacentral:rRNA from 1 species